rnacentral:rRNA from 1 species
AGUGAACGCUGGCGGUAGGCCUAACACAUGCAAGUCGAACGGCAGCACAGUAAGAGCUUGCUCUUACGGGUGGCGAGUGGCGGACGGGUGAGGAAUACAUCGGAAUCUACUUUUACGUGGGGGAUAACGUAGGGAAACUUACGCUAAUACAGCAUAUGACCUACGGGUGACAGCAGGGGAUCUUCGGACCUUGCGCGAUUGAAUGAGCCGAUGUCGGAUUAGCUAGUUGGCGGGGUAAAGGCCCACCAAGGCGACGAUCCGUAGCUGGUCUGAGAGGAUGAUCAGCCACACGGUAACUGAGACACGUCCGAGACUCCUACGGGAGGAAGCAGUGGGGAAUAUUGGACAAUGGGCGCAAGCCUGAUCCAGCCAUACCGCGUGAGUGAAGAAGGCCUUCUGGUUGUAAAGCCCUUUUGUUGGGAAAGAAAAGAAGCAGUUUUAUCCCCCGCUGUUCUGACGGUACCCAAGGAAUAAGCACCGGCUAACUUCGUG